UGGGGAAUAUUGGGCAAUGGGCGAAAGCCUGACCCAGCGACGCCGCGUGGGGGAAGAAGUCUUUCGGGAUGUAAACCCUUGUUGUCCGGGACGAAGGAAGUGACGGUACCGUACGAGGAAGCCCCGGCAAACUACGUGCCAGCAGCCGCGGUAAUACGUAGGGGGCGAGCGUUGUCCGGAAUUACUGGGCGUAAAGCGCCCGUAGGAGGGCUGUUAAGUCGGCCGGGAAAGGCACUGGCUCAACCGGGGUGUGUCGGUCGAUACUGGCGG
rnacentral:rRNA from 1 species